UUAGAAGAUAGUUAAUAUUAGAUAUUUUGUGUUUGGCCAUAUGCAACUGCACACUUAAAUCAAUCAAUUAGCAAAUAAUUGUUGUUUUUUUGUUAUCAUCAAAACAUCAAUAACAAGUAUUGUACUUGAACCAUUUUAGUUCUUACAUGAUCAAAGAUGAGAGUCGUUUGAGGGUUUCUAAUUGCGCAAUCAAAGUCUCAUCAAUGAGAGUCAUUUGAGGCUACAUCAAUAUUAAUUUAUAUCUUUCAGAAAGGGGAGUGUGUCAGAUGUCUUUCUUUCAUCAUUGAUUGUCAAUCAUGGAACCAUCAAGAGCUUGAGAUCUAUGCAUGCAUGCCUCAUCUCACUUUGAUAGAUCUCUAACUUCUUCAUUGUCAUUUGCAUCUCCAUAACCACAUGUAUGUCUUUCUGCUCGAAAACUCAUUUGUUUCUACACCAUCACCAUAAAUAAUGUUAGAAAUACAUUAUAGAAUUGAAAUAAGGACUUUAAGGAAACUUUAUUUAUGCUAGGCGUGCAAAUUUCAUUCAUUUAUCUAUCAUCCAUCUAAUUAUAUAGUAAUCCAAUCCAUCAAAUCAACUACCAUUGUAAGAAAUUUUCAAUUUUGCGGGCACACAGCUUACGACGGUUCUUGCAAAACUAUCCUCAAUGAUAAUUAAUGGCAGUUACCAU
rnacentral:lncRNA from 1 species